AUUCAGGUGCCAAAUCAAAUAGAACCCGCCAUUGAUCUGAUAGUUGAUAAGGUAAAUACCCACUCAAACACAAAGU